rfam:Picea glauca, whole genome shotgun sequence.
AAUCACCUAACCUAGACCUUGAAUCUAAACCCCCUAACCUUCUAAGUCAUCGACCCAUAACCCUUCUAAAGAUGCAAUGUGAUUUAUUCCCAUUGCCAUGCAUGUGAAAGUGAAGAAAUUCAACCAAGCACAUGUAAACGACUAGAGUAACUAUGAUUGUAUUAAGGUAGUCAGAUGUCUCGUCAUCUAAUUAGUGACGUGCAAGAAUGGAUCAUUAAUGAGAUUCCCCAUUGUCCCUAGUUACUAUAUUCUAGAGAAACCACAUCCAAGGGAAUGGGCUUGGCAGAAUUAGCGGGGAAAGAAGACCCACAUGUUGAGCUUGACUCUAGUCCUAACCCAUUCAUAGUUUGGGAAAAUUAGGGCAUAGU